rnacentral:rRNA from 1 species
GAUGAACGCUGGCGGCGUGCCUAAUACAUGCAAGUCGAGCGAACGGACGAGAAGCUUGCUUUUCUGAUGUUAGCGGCGGACGGGUGAGUAACACGUGGAUAACCUACCUAUAAGACUGGGAUAACUUCGGGAAACCGGAGCUAAUACCGGAUAAUAUUUUGAACCGCAUGGUUCAAAAGUGAAAGACGGUCUUGCUGUCACUUAUAGAUGGAUCCGCGCUGCAUUAGCUAGUUGGUAAGGUAACGGCUUACCAAGGCGACGAUGCAUAGCCGACCUGAGAGGGUGAUCGGCCACACUGGAACUGAGACACGGUCCAGACUCCUACGGGAGGCAGCAGUAGGGAAUCUUCCGCAAUGGGCGAAAGCCUGACGGAGCAACGCCGCGUGAGUGAUGAAGGUCUUCGGAUCGUAAAACUCUGUUAUUAGGGAAGAACAUAUGUGUAAGUAACUGUGCACAUCUUGACGGUACCUAAUCAGAAAGCCACGGCUAACUACGUGCCAGCAGCCGCGGUAAUACGUAGGUGGCAAGCGUUAUCCGGAAUUAUUGGGCGUAAAGCGCGCGUAGGCGGUUUUUUAAGUCUGAUGUGAAAGCCCACGGCUCAACCGUGGAGGGUCAUUGGAAACUGGAAAACUUGAGUGCAGAAGAGGAAAGUGGAAUUCCAUGUGUAGCGGUGGAAUGCGCAGAGAUGUGGAGGAACACCAGUGGCGAAGGCGACUUUCUGGUCUGUAACUGACGCUGAUGUGCGAAAGCGUGGGGAUCAAACAGGAUUAGAUACCCUGGUAGUCCACGCCGUAAACGAUGAGUGCUAAGUGUUAGGGGGUUUCCGCCCCUUAGUGCUGCAGCUAACGCAUUAAGCACUCCGCCUGGGGAGUACGACCGCAAGGUUGAAACUCAAAGGAAUUGACGGGGGCCCGCACAAGCGGUGGAGCAUGUGGUUUAAUUCGAAGCAACGCGAAGAACCUUACCAAAUCUUGACAUCCUUUGACAACUCUAGAGAUAGAGCCUUCCCCUUCGGGGGACAAAGUGACAGGUGGUGCAUGGUUGUCGUCAGCUCGUGUCGUGAGAUGUUGGGUUAAGUCCCGCAACGAGCGCAACCCUUAAGCUUAGUUGCCAUCAUUAAGUUGGGCACUCUAAGUUGACUGCCGGUGACAAACCGGAGGAAGGUGGGGAUGACGUCAAAUCAUCAUGCCCCUUAUGAUUUGGGCUACACACGUGCUACAAUGGACAAUACAAAGGGCAGCGAAACCGCGAGGUCAAGCAAAUCCCAUAAAGUUGUUCUCAGUUCGGAUUGUAGUCUGCAACUCGACUACAUGAAGCUGGAAUCGCUAGUAAUCGUAGAUCAGCAUGCUACGGUGAAUACGUUCCCGGGUCU